GUCGAGAAUCUUCGGCAAUGGGCGCAAGCCUGACCGAGCGACGCCGCGUGCGGGAUGAAGGCCUUCGGGUUGUAAACCGCUGUCAGAGGGGAUGAAAUGCGUGGGGGUUCUCCCCCAUGUUUGACAUAGCCUCAGAGGAAGGACGGGCUAAGUUCGUGCCAGCAGCCGCGGUAAGACGAACCGUCCAAACGUUAUUCGGAAUCACUGGGCUUAAAGGGUGCGUAGGCGGCGCGGAAAGUUGGGUGUGAAAUACCUCGGCUCAACCGAGGAACUGCGCCCAAAACUUCCGUGCUCGAGGGAGAUAGAGGUGAGCGGAACUUAGGGUGGAGCGGUGAAAUGCGUUGAUAUCCUAAGGAACACCGGUGGCGAAGGCGGCUCACUGGAUCUCUUCUGACGCUGAGGCACGAAAGCUAGGGUAGCGAACGGG
rnacentral:rRNA from 1 species